AUAAAAUUUAACAUUAAAUCAACUGUAGUAUGUAAUCUAUAUGGACAAUUUAAUGAUUUAGUUUAUUAUUUGAUUAAUGAUUUGUGACAUAACUAUGUAAUCUUGAUUAUCACGAGCAAAACGAGAGUAACAUCUGUUACAACAGUAUGGAUUAAUGACGCAUCGUUCUGCCUGAAAAAUAAAUUUAAUUGCGUAUUAAAUUAAUUUUUUAGUAUUGUAAUGUUAAUGCCCAACUUAUUUGCUAUCAUAAACUUAGGCAGAUCAUAGGCAAUUAAUUAAUCCAUUUCUUCCUCAUGCGCGAUAAAAUUAUGUAAAAACUCCACCAGAUUAGACCCGACAGAAUUUAUGUAUAAAGGAAGAGAGAGUACAAUAAAUUUAGAAAUUAAAUUCAGAGUGUUUAGCAUCCGUUAAGCAUCAAUCUUACAUGUGUAACUGCGCGUUACAACUGCGUAAAUGUUUUUCAAUUGGCAAAUUUAUCAAUGUCUUCUCUACUCUUCUGGAAGAAAUAUUAUUGCUCGGGAACAUGUGUCUCACGUUCUAACGCAUUUUUUUUAGAUACUGGAAUUGCGAGUUAGAUAAACUGAAAAACCUGGAAUACACCGUGGGCAAAGACGGGCAGAAAGUGCCGUUGAAAAGGAACGCCCGUCCGAGAUUAUAUAAGGCGAUCUUCAACGCUUUUUGGUUGCCAUAUUUCAUAAUUGGAAUCUAUCAAUUUAUCCAAUGCAGCAUAGUACGCGUAGCAGUGCCGAUCUUCCAAGGUUGGAUCAUCGACUACUUCGCUAGAGAUUCGACUGGAAGGAACAAGAUAGAACUGAACGACGUGUUGAUCUAUGUUGCCUGCUUGAUACUUUGUACAAUCAUCUCCGUUCUGAUAAUGCAUCAAUCGAUGCUGCUGUCGCUGCAGUUCGGCAUGAGAAUACGUAUCGCUUGUAGCUCUCUUCUCUACCGAAAGUUAUUACGACUGAACAGAGCAUCCAUGAAUCAAACUGGUACUGGACAGAUCAUGAAUCUUCUUAGCAAUGACGUUACUCGCUUUGAUCAAUCAACAACGUUCCUAAAUUACAUAUGGAUCAUGCCUUUUCAGGUAAAUCUUAUUUUGUGAAAGAUAUUUGUAUAGAUUCUCAAAAUAUUUCAAGAUAAUUAACAUCUUUUUUUUAAUUAAAAUUGUUAUUAAAAGUUUAAAAAACAAAUUAUUAAAAAUGUAAUUAAGAAUAAGUG